AUGAUUCUGGAUGUUUCAGACACUUCAUUGUUGUUGAUGGAUCUUUGGAUAUGUGCGUCCAACUUGACCGGAUCUUUAGUUAUCCUUCAGCGAAAUAAUUUUCACAUGACAUUUACAUCUUCAUCAUUCUUCAAUUCGAUUAGGUUAUAUUUCACUCUUUUAUUUGUAUCAAUCCAAUCCUCUCGAAAUUCUACCUUUGUCACCCUUCUGUUAUCGAAAUCAGGUAGUAAAUUAUUCAACAUUUCUUUCAAGGUGGCAAAGGAUUCGGAAGUCAUCUGA